GGAGUUGCACGCGCGCAGGAUGCGUCUGAGCAGCAGAACCUGUUUCAGCAGAUGGUCCGCAAUCCGGGCAACCACGAAAUUACGUUUGCCUAUGUGAAGGUUGCGACCACGCGCGGGGAUUACGAAGCNNNNNNNUCGGCGCGCUCGAGCGGCUGCUGUUCUACAAUCCCAAAUUGACGCGCGUGAAAUACGAACUUGGCGCGCUUUAUUUCCGGCUCGGCUCCUAUGAGAUGGCGAAGCGCUA
rnacentral:misc_RNA from 1 species